UCUAUAUAUCUCUCUCUCUCUGUAUCUCUCUAUCUCUGUAUAUCUCUCUGUAUCUCUCUCUCUGUAUCUCUCUCUCUCUCUCUCUAUCUCCCUCUCAUUUGCCCCAGCUUUUCCUACAGCAUGAUAAAUCUGAUGCUAAAUUUAGAGGCCGUCUUUAUUGAGCAGUGAGGGAUUACUGGCACAGAGAGAGAGAGUGUGAGGGAGACAGUUGGAGGGAAAGAGUGGCAGGCUUUCUAUCUCCAAUCGGCCUAUCAGGAGGAGCUUACGUUCUGUUUUAAAGCGCCCUCUGUGACUUUGUUUAUAUGUUGUGCUCUCACAUGAGUCCGCCUGUCUAAUAGCUACAUGGUCUGGUCUCCUACUAUACAUCAUUCCUGUUACAAACAAUUGGUUGGGAAAAAGAAGACGUAUUUCUGUUGGACAUUCAUAUAUACAUUGCACAUUGCACAAUAUAGUACAUUUCUAAGGCCUGUUUUCUGAUAUCUAUCUUUUAUGAACUUGUUCCUGGUGCUCUGACACAGAGUGAGGGUGUUACAGAUGCUGCUGGUCUUUAGGUCCAGGACAUGAUGCUGUGCUUCAGGAGGAAGGCAGAGCAGCAUCUCACCACACAGAACAGAGUCCUGACCUCUCCCAGAUGUUGAUGUCUAAUGGAGCUUUGGGCUUCAAAGGAUCUGAGCUGCAGACUGACAGACAGACUGACUCCUGAGUCUCCACUCCAGCCACUCAAUCAUGCCACACCACCAAGAUUAAAGCUAGCCUUCAUCGGCCAGACCUGCUCUGUGCUCUGCCCAGACCCAGCUGCUGUUCUCUGGGUUUUAUCGGAAGUACUAGCAGGGAGGACAAGGAGGCAGGAGACAGGGAACCAGCAGCACCUGGUUGUGUAAAAAGAGGCGUUAUUCCCACACCUGAAAACAGAUGUCCCUCUCUGAACCCUUCAGAGCAGCUCUUUUGAUAACCAGCCACUCAGCAUGGGGAAUGUCCUGUGGAGAAGGACUUUCAACAUCUCAUCAAAUGGUCAGGAAGGAACAGAUUGUCUAGGAUUUUGGACACAAUUAUUUUCAUGUGAUUUUAUUUGUGUAACAAAGUAAAAAAUGCAACAUGAUAGUGAUAUAGUAAUGACAUUAUUAUAAUACGUGUAUUUUUAUCUUUAUUCUAUUUUGAGAAUAAAUGUAUUUCCCUUUU